GGCGUAGCUUAGCGGUUAAAGCGUCGCUCUGUGGCAGCGAAGACCGGGGGUUCGAAUCCCCUCG
rnacentral:tRNA from 1 species